CCCCCGGGCCUUGUCCCUGUCGGAUGGACGCCACUGGCCACCGAAGCACAUCUGGUAAGCUCCACUCGUCUUAUCACCUAGGCUGAGAAAGCUCAUAAUGCAAUCAGCCAUUACGCUAUCGAGCCCAACGAACUUCAAUUUGCCGCCAAAUUCCCGCCUCUCCGGGACAAAUUCACACGUUUUCCCACCUACCAAACAGCUUUCUGCGGGAGGAAGCAACGGUUUGUUCCGUCCGAGAAUGGCUUCUUCAAUUGGAAGGCUUAGGGUUAGCUCAAUAAUCGGUGGCGGUGAAAGCGAGAGCGGGUUUUGUACUCUGAUGGAGUAUGUCGGCGAGGGAGGAUCAGGUUUGAGCGAUGAAUUGGUGGUGGUGUUUGCUCAUUUGCAGUAUGCCGCCAAGAGAAUUGCAGCUCUCGUGGCUUCCCCUUUCAAUUCGAGCCUGGGCAAGCAAUCUGGCAUAGCAGGCAGCGCCGGUAGCUCGGAUCGAGAUGCGCCCAAGCCUCUGGAUAUCGUUUCGAAUGAGAUCAUUCUAUCUUCUCUACGGAAUUCUGGUAAAGUUGCAGUUUUAGCUUCAGAAGAAGAUGAUGCACCAAUCUGGUUAAAUGAUAGUGGCCCAUUUGUGGUGGUCACAGAUCCUUUAGAUGGGUCCCGAAAUAUAGAUGCUUCUAUUCCCACAGGAACAAUUUUUGGGAUUUAUAACCGCCUAGUAGAAGUAGAUCAUCUGCCUGUGGAGGAGAAGGCAUUGCUGAACUCACUUCAGAGCGGAACUAGGCUUGUUGCUGCUGGCUAUGUUCUCUAUUCAUCAGCCACAAUACUCUGCACCAGCUUUGGUUCGGGAACGCAUGCAUUCACACUGGAUCACUCAACAGGAGACUUUAUUCUCACACAUCCCAGCAUCAAAAUUCCUCCUCGAGGACAAAUCUAUUCUGUAAAUGAUGCUCGCUACUUUGACUGGCCUGAAGGUUUAAGAAAAUACAUCGACACCGUGAGACAAGGAAAAGGCAGAAAUCCUAAGAAGUACUCAGCCCGUUACAUAUGUUCUCUUGUUGCUGAUUUCCAUCGGACUCUCAUGUAUGGUGGAGUGGCAAUGAAUCCAAGGGACCAUCUUCGCCUUGUUUAUGAGGCCAACCCUCUUAGUUUUCUCGUAGAGCAAGCUGGGGGCAGAGGUUCUGAUGGUAAAAAUAGAAUCUUAUCACUUCAGCCAAUCAAGCUGCACCAAAGGCUUCCUUUGUUCUUAGGGAGUCCAGAGGAUAUGAAAGAGUUAGAAAGUUACGGAGAUGUUCAACAGAAAGUAAAUCCUGGUUUCCCAGCGUGAUGCCUAGUCAAAAUUAAUGGAGGCAACAUGAAAAAUCAGAGUCAACCAUUAAACAGUCCACAUCACAUCUAAAAUGUGCUUCUAGUACACAGCCACUAUUCUGGUUUUUACAGUGGAUGCUGAACUAUCACAGGGUUCUUCUGGUUGAUAGACACUGAAAUUCACUUGCAGUGGAGAAUGUCCUGGAAAGUACAGAGGAAACAGAACCUUGGCUAGUUCCCAUGAAACACUGUGGAGAGAAUAAUUUUAUGGGUUUUGUUAGAACUGAUGUCAUGCAGGUCCUGGUUAGCAAAAGCAGUUUGCGGUGUAGCAGCCUUUACACGAAUCGGUGCUCUCUCUUGCUCUAACAUCAGUAGCCUGAUGGACUUGGCAACUGCAUCUCCAGUGAAGGAGCCAUCUUCAUUCCUUGGCACUUCAUAUCCUAUUCCCUUUUCCACCAACAGUCUAGCAUUUAGGCCUUGGUCUGCUACCAUGGGCAUGAGAAUUGGAGGGUGUCCAAAACCAAGAGACUCAAUGAUGGAACCCCAUCCAGAGUGGAAGAUGCAUCCCCCAAUGGCAGAGUGAGCUAGCAUCUCCAACUGUGGCGGCCACCCAAGACUGAUCACACCUUGAUCAGAUGUUCGAGUUGAAAAGCCAGGAGGCAGUAAUUCCGAGCUAUCUACUCCUUCAGGCUCCUGGAGACCCCAUAGAAAUGGGAGCUUGGAAAGCUCAAGCCCGAUUGCUAACUCGUGUAUUCGUUCAGGAGGCAUCUUGUACUCACUUCCAAAUCCGACAAAAACCAGACUUUGGUUUCUGUUUAUCCAACCAUUUGAAAGUAGCUGACCAUUGUGAUGAGAGGACAGCAUUGCUGGUUCUUUUCUGUAAUAAAUUUGGUGGGAGUAAGCCAAUGGGUAAAACUGGUCUUUGGUACAGUUGUUUCAGGAGGUCUAGAUAUUCUCCCUCAAACUCUCUGCAGCUUCUCACCACAACAAAGUUGCACCCUUCCGCAGUUUUAGCCAGCCAUUGGCCACUUGACAUCCCAGAUUUGUCAGGAAUGUGCAAAUUUUGGAAUGCUGUUGCUGAAUAAUGGGGCUCGUGAACGACACAAGAAGGGAAAGUAAACCGAUCCAGAGCAACUGUGAAAUGUUCUGCUGUGGGACUUAGUUCAACAGGCGGCCCCAAUUAUGCUAAUGUGGCAGCCGUGUACGCACUGAAGAAGUCAGAAGCUAUGCCAAAGUUAGCAGCAGUUUCCGGGAUCCAACAUGGGACAAAGUCAAGGAGUAUGAAAUCUGGCAUGGGUGGCAACCUGUGGAUGUUUCUUGGAGUUGAAACCAACGAUAUCAACAUACCAUUUGCUGCAAAUCUUUUGGAGACCUCAAGAAAGGGUAUCAAGUGGCCUAAUUAGUGGCAGAACUACAUGUUAGUGAGGAUGUGCAAUUGCGCUCCCCCCCCCCCCCCCCAAUUUCUUAAAUUGUCCUAAAUUACCCUUGAUGUUGUGCAUAAAUUACUAUGCCCUCUAAUACUUGCCUUUCUUAAAAGAAAUUAGUAUACACACUUAAGACUUCUUUCGCCGACACAAGGUCCGAACUCUGCCACUAGGCCAAAUGCUAAACAGGGAAACAUCAUCACAUGAGGGAUUGCUUGGAAGCCAUGGAAGAAUUUGUGGGGCUCAUCAACAAUAUAGUGAGUUAGUUCUUCUGAUUUUGAGUCCUUAUUAGGGAUCCAUUGUGUUCCGCCAUUUAUGUCGCCGGCAUAUAUUCUUAGCAUGCAAGAGGAAGGCACCCAUUACAUUUUGCUUGUGGGGUUGUUCACCUUCUUUUAGCUGCUGGUAUUCCAAUCUAUAAGUUCUCAAAGUCUAGAUUGUGUAGGAACAGCAACUUUAUAUGUCAAUAUUGAUGCCGCAUGCACGUGAUU